UGGGGAAUCUUGCACAAUGGGGGCAACCCUGAUGCAGCGACGCCGCGUGAGCGAUGAAGCCCUUCGGGGCGUAAAGCUCUUUCGACCGGAACGAUAAUGACGGUACCGGGAGAAGAAGCUGCGGCUAACUACGUGCCAGCAGCCGCGGUAAUACGUAGGCAGCAAGCGUUGUUCGGAGUUACUGGGCGUAAAGAGUGCGUAGGCGGUUUUCUAAGUUCGGUGUGAAAUCUCCCGGCUUAACUGGGAGGGUGCGCCGAAGACUGGGAUGCUGGAGUGUGGGAAAGGCAGGCGGAAUUCCAGGUGUAGCGGUGACAUGCGUAGGUAUCAGGAGGAACACCGGCGGUGUAGACGGCUUGCUAGCCCAUAACUGACGCUGAGGCACGAAAGCGUGGGUAGCAAA
rnacentral:rRNA from 1 species